AAGUUUCAUUAUAUAUCGAAGUCCUUCGUUAUGCGUUGGCGGUUUAUGUAGAUAUAUUUUGGAACUU
rnacentral:ncRNA from 1 species